rnacentral:rRNA from 1 species
AAGGGGACUUCGUGUUCCUGAGUAAAGUGGCGCACGGGUGAGUAACGCGUAGAUAAUCUACCCUAGUGUCCGGGACAACAUCGGGAAACUGGUGCUAAUACCGGAUAAUUUUCAUUAAUCGCGAGGUUGAUGAAGGAAAGGUGGGGACCCUUCGGGGCCUACUGCACAAGGAUGAGUCUGCGUACCAUUAGCUAGUUGGUGGGGUAAUGGCCUACCAAGGCGACGAUGGUUAGCGGGUCUGAGAGGAUGAUCCGCCACACUGGCACUGGAACACGGGCCAGACUCCUACGGGAGGCAGCAGUGAGGAAUUUUGCACAAUGGGGGAAACCCUGAUGCAGCGACGCCGCGUGAGUGAUGAAGGCCUUCGGGUCGUAAAGCUCUGUCAAUAGGGAAGAAAUGUGUAAUGGCUAAUACCCAUUAUAUUUGACGGUACCUAUAAAGGAAGCACCGGCUAAAUCCGUGCCAGCAGCCGCGGUAAUACGGAUGGUGCGAGCGUUGUUCGGAAUUACUGGGCGUAAAGGGCGCGUAGGCGGCGUGUCAAGUCAGGUGUGAAAGCCCACGGCUCAACCGUGGACGUGCAUCUGAAACUGUCAUGCUUGAGUACUGGAGAGGAAAGUGGAAUUCCUGGUGUAGAGGUGAAAUUCGUAGAUAUCAGGAGGAAUACCGGUGGCGAAGGCGACUUUCUGGACAGAUACUGACGCUGAGGCGCGAA